rnacentral:rRNA from 1 species
UACGAAGGGUGCAAGCGUUAAUCGGAAUUACUGGGCGUAAAGGGCGCGUAGGCGGCACUGUUAGUCAGGCGUGAAAGUCCUGGGCUCAACCUGGGAACUGCGCUUGAUACGGCAGAGCUAGAGGAUGGAAGAGGCUCGCGGAAUUCCCAGUGUAGAGGUGAAAUUCGUAGAUAUUGGGAAGAACACCGGUGGCGAAGGCGGCGAGCUGGUCCAUUACUGACGCUGAGGCGCGACAGCGUGGGGAGCAAACAGG